UACGUAGGGACCGAGCGUUGUCCGGAAUCAUUGGGCGUAAAGAGCGUGUAGGCGGCCACUUAAGUCCUGCGUGAAAUCUUGCGGCUCAACCGCAAGCGGUCGUGGGAAACUGGGUGGCUAGAGUGCGGGAGAGGAGAGUGGAAUUCCUGGUGUAGCGGUGAAAUGCGCAGAUAUCAGGAGGAACACCAAUGGCGAAGGCAGCUCGCUGGGACGGUACUGACACUGAGACGCGAAAGCGUGGGGAGCAAACAGG
rnacentral:rRNA from 1 species